UAUGACUGAAUGGAUGUUUUAUAUCAUCACAUACACUUAAAUUUGGGUCUCUAAAUGUAUUGAGAUAGUCGACUAUUUCUUCCGCUCUGACAAGCAGGGACGACUUUCCCGUUCAGUUGAUUAAUUCUUCUCUCGACGGGAGUUGCAGGUAUUUAAAAUCGUGCCCACAAUACAAGCUUCCAGAUGUGAAUAUUUUAUCUAACUACAACACCUAGAAAUCAACAGCCUUAAAGGAAAGUAUGGUUAAAAAAUUAUCUUUCUGAGGAUUUGUUAUAGAGUAAGAAGUUAUAAACAAAUGGAAUUGCGCAAUCUCAUUAUUACAGUGUUAUGGAUGGCACUUUGCACGCAGGGUUCUUCAGGUACGGUUGAAUAUUUCUUCAAAAAUAAUUCCUCCAAAUAUAUGCAGUUUUCAGGUCGUUUUCACCAUUCGCUUUAUGAAACAUACAACAACUUUAUUUUCCUUCUCAUUCUUCUUUAAUUUCAAGCCGUUUUUGUUCGGAAGACAUAAUAAAAAUACUGUGUAAAUACACUGUGGUUUCUUUUAGCCAGCAGCUCUCGCUUUUGUUUUAAUUCGCAUGAUUACAUCAUCACUACAGGCGACUGAUAAACUAACUUGCUUCAACAAUACAAGGUCAGUGUCUAUUUGAUAACAAAAGAAAAGCUUGCAAAUGCGGAAGAGUAACAAGUUAUAAUUCUUGAUGCUGGUCAGCUGGGAAACUCAGUUCGCGCGAAAACGUGGCCCACGUUCCGUGAAACCGGAAGCCGUAGAGUAAAAAAGCAACAGGAGGGGGUGAGGGUGGAAAUAAAGAGUAGCAACAAUUUCUUUAUGGCUUGGGGCAAAAUGCAUGGUAAAGAUUAAGUUCGUAAAGACCGGAAGUUAUCUGAGAUACAAAACAUGCGCAGGAUGGGCUCCUGACAUGCGCAGCACUUUUCCUCUUUGAGGCUCAAAUAAGUUAUUACUUGUAACCUUUUCAGUCAUUAAUUCAGGCAGCAUACACAGGCAGGAAGGUAAAAGACAUCUGUAAUAAAGAGUAAUUCAUAUUUUUCUGCUCUGUCUAUAAGCAACGUUUUCUACAAUGAGCAAUUCUCGUUUUCCCGCCUUUCCAGGUUCUUUACAAUGCAGCUCUAAAAAACCUCUGUUGAACGGCUCCUAUUUGAAGAACGGAGCUGCGGCAGGGCGAUUCAAGUAUUUAGCCUGCGUCAAUGACUUCGGUAACUGCACUAAACUUGCUUGUGAAUAUGAAAAACAUGGAGAUCAUGAGUUUGCCUACCUGUUGGACGGCAAUGUUUCAUUGUGACCUGUCGAAGUGAGAAAUCAUGCGAAACUAUGAGGCAGCCAUAUAUCGUUCCACUAAAGUUGGCAAAGUUGGAGUGGUCAGAAGCACCUUCAAAAACUUCUUCAUCCCAUCGUAUCGUUUCGACAGCUUCAACCUCCACGACACCCGCGAAGAAACUGGGCACAAAUCCUACCAAAGGAUCUCAAAAAGCGCCUUCAAAAACUCCUUCAUCCCGCGGUAUCUUUUCGACAGCCUCAACUUCUACGACACCCACGAAGAAAACGGGCAUAACUUCUACCAAAGGACCUCAAAGAAGUUCUUCCCAAUGUAGAUCUCAAGAACCUCAGUUUAACUCAAACUUCAAGGACGGAGAUGCGGCAGGGCGAUUCAAGUAUUUAGCCAGCGUCAAUGACUUUGAUAACUGCACUAAACUUGCUUGUGAAUAUGAACAACAUGGAGAUUUUGCCUACCUGGUAGACAGCCAAUGUUUCAUUGUGACCUGUCAUAGUGAGGAAUUAUGCAAAACUAUAAAGCAGCCUUAUACUGUCCCAAUAGCGUUGGCAAGGUUGGUGUGGUGAGUUGCACCGGGAAACCUGGGUUAAGUUCCAGAUGGAAAAGUCACUAUGACCACAGAGCACAGGCUUCUCCAGGAUAUAAUUUACACCAAAAGUUAUAAUAGAGAGGUGCGACCAGCACUUCACGAUAAUGAUGUUGUCACUAAUAUUGACAAUUAAAAGUGAAGAUAGAAUUUCAAACCCAUUAAAGCUUGUAUCACUUGUUUUACUUUGAAAUAUGACUUUCCCCCUUGGAAGGCAAAAGGAAAUUAAGAGCACUAGACAAACAAAUUGUUUAACCUGAACUAUAUAAUAUCUUGCAACAUAUCAACAAGAUUUGUAUACUUCUGCAUUACCUUCAUUAAGAUCAAUAGCAGUCACCACCAUUCUGUGACCCUCAAAUGUGAAAAUGGGUUCAUUUCCUGCUUUACUGGUCUGCUACACCUUAAUUGUCUUGUCUCUUGAGGAACUGUAAAUAGUUUCCCUUACAUAUUUUACCUGUUGAGAAGCCCAGAAGGCAAAGCUCAAGGCUGUAAGUCUGUAUGAGGAUAAAAUUCUUUACUGAGUUUUUCUGUAUGUUAAUACCAGACCAGUCUGCAGGGUAUUACAAAAGUUGAUGAGAUAGCAUGUAUUUAAAGGUGAUUCAACCAUGUGAAAUGUAUGGUACAAAAGAAAAAAAAAACUGGCCUGCUCCUACCAUAGUCUGCAGACAGCAUACCUGAUAAUGAAUUUAAAACAGGGCAGAGAAAACUUUGAAUCAUGUACGACAAUGAACCACAACAUAUUUACCUACUUUAGUAACAUCUCUUGAGUGACCAGACCAUCGAUAAAGAGUAACAUCUUGUUUCCAGUUGAACAAAACUAGCUGUUGAGUGAAAAAUGCACACACGGGGUUUUACUUUUGCUAAAUAUUACUUUGGAGGUUACAUAGACACUAGUGCCCUCUAAUGAGAAUCCUGGAACUUCCCUCAACAAAGGUCUUACUCAUAAGCCGAUCUACGGAGGGUCUUAAAUUAAAGGAAGUUAAUAAGAGUUGAAGA
rnacentral:misc_RNA from 1 species